GAUGAACGCUGGCGGCGUGCCUAAUACAUGCAAUUCGAGCGACCGCACCAUAAGCUUUCUCCUCUGCUGUUGGCGACGGACGGGCGAGUAACACUUACCUAGCCUACCUCUAUUUCUUGGAUGACUUCGUGAAACCGCAUUUACUACCGUCUCAUACUCUCAACCGCUUGGUUCAACAGUUAUUUACGCCCUUCCUGUUUUUUUUAGAUGUUUUCGCGAUGCCUUAGCUAGUUGGUAAGGUAAAGGCUUACAAAGGCGACGAUGCGUAGCCGACCUGAGAGGGUGAUCAGCCACACUGGAACUGAGACACGGUCCAGACUCCUACGGGAGGCAGCAGUAGGGAAUAUUAGACAAUGGGCGAAAGCCUGAUAGAGCAACGCCGCGUGGGUGAAGAAGGUCUUCGGAUAGUAAAGCUCUGUUAUUAGGAAAGAAAAGAAGUAGGAGAAUAUGUGGACGUCUUGACGGUACCAAAAGAAAAAGCAACGGCUAACUUCGUG
rnacentral:rRNA from 1 species